rnacentral:lncRNA from 1 species
GCAGGAGCUUGGAGGCGGAGCUCAGGAGGAGAGAGUUCGCCUGACAUGCACGGGGUUUGAUCUCUAGUACUCAGUAAUCAAACAAGCAAAUGAACAAAAGGAGGAAGAAAGGUUUGUAUGAAUGUUACAUGUGAAAGAUGAAGCAUUUCUAUAAAUACAUGAUAAACAUAAUAACAUCACGUUUUUGUUACUUAGUCAAAAGAGCUUUUAGACUUAUAAAGAUACUCAGAGAUUGUAUGAUAUUUACAAGUGAUUGAUUAACUAUCAUGAUGGGGUUACUUACCUUUCUAUAUCAUAAUUAUUAUAACCAUACAUCUUCAUAUGAAAACUGAAGUGAUGGUUAAGGAUUUUAUAAUAUUGGAAAAUAAACAUAGUAUCAUUUUGAUCAGAGAAAGAGGUAUGAAAUUAUAGAUGUACAAAUUAAUAGGCGAGAAGGAGUCUUUUUAAAAAAUGCCAUGUUUCUACUCGUAGGUGAAGCUAUUGUAGUCACUGGAAGGUGGUGGAGCCUCGGUAGAUGGCCUCUCUCAGCCAUGCUACCACUCUGAAACUGUUUGUCAGAUUUCCAGAGCACACAAGCAACAAGCGAAUGGGUUUAGAAAUAGACGUGUGCUGUGCUUGCUAUUCUAGUGGGGUUUACAUUUUUUUGUUAGUCUUGCCAUGGAGAAAUUCCAGCUCAGGCUUUGUACAUAGAUAAGUAUUGCUAGGCAAGUGCUUAGCACUGAGCCAAACCCCAGACCAUUGCUGGGCUUUAAAGUGUUUUGUUUAUUGUUAGCAUCUAUCUUUGGAUUUUGUUGUUGUUGUUGUUUGCUUUGGGUUUUAUUUGUUUUUUGAGAGUUUUUAAUAUAUAUAUAAAUUGAUAGAGUUCUAGACAAUUUGUUUUUCUGUGUUUUAAAUUUAUUUCAAAGUUAAAAGGUGCUAAAAUACCCUUCUACCUUUGCCCAUCCCCACUCUGGAUUUGCAGUAUCAUUAAAAAGUCACAAAGGGCUGCCAAAAGGCCUUGAGUAUUUUGGUACAUGCCUCAAUAUUUUUCAAACUCACUCUCCUUUACCCUAAUAUCUAUAUUAAUAACCCCAAGCAAAUUAGUGUUCUGUGGAACACAUUUUGCAUAAUAUUAAUAUGUUUACUGGUUUGGGCUGGAUCCUAUGAAAUGCUGAGUAUUUUGUUGGUGGUGGUGGUAAUGUUGGGUUUUGUGGAAUCUUAGUCAUAAUAAGCUUUUGUUCAUAAUGAGGUUGACCCUCCAGCUUGUAAGCUACGAGUAACUGACAGUGAACAAGGAAAUUAAUUAGACUCUGGGAGAGAAAUUUUGUUUGCUUCUUUUCUUAACAGUAGCCAAGGCUCUAUGAGUCUAAAUGGCCUUCGUACUGUAGUUCAAUUGAACCUUUCCCAGGGCAGUAAAAUCAGAGAUUGCUACCAGAAGAAUCUCGGGGAAGCUUCUCAGGACAAAGAAUUUGUGAAAUAUAUUUAAAGUGUUGUUAAGACAUAUAAACUUGGGAGGCACUUGGUAAAGGAUAGGGGCUCUUUGGGCUACACAUAUUCAGCAUUUUUGAGACACAACAUGUAAUUUUUAUUUGAUUAUGUGUGUGUGUGUGUGUGUGUGUGUGUGUGUGUGAAUGAGAGUGUGUGUGCACAUGUGUGAAAGUGUGUACGUGCAUGAAGUGUGUCUGUGCAUGCACUCAGGUACACUUGUGCAUGUGCGUGUGUGUGUGCAUACGUGUGUGUGUGUGUGCAUACAUGUGUGUGUGUGCAUACAUGUGUGUGUGUGUGUUUAAUCUGUUAUUACUCUGUUCUGAACAGGCAACUGUUGUGUGUUACUUUCACUCACUUGUACUUCAAUGUGAACAAAUCAUAGAGGACGAAGCUAAUGACCACUCAUCACCGUUCCCUUUGUACAGCUUGUCUAGGCUUCACCAUGACGUAUUGGUUCAUUAAGUUCUUAGGCUGCACAUGUAUAAAACUAUUGUAAGUCAUUUCUGAAUGAUGGAAACUUUAUUUGGCACUAGUAGGUCAUGGGAUGCUUUGCUCUCUCCACAAGCCUGGCAUUCAGCAAUAUCCAAGAAGGAAGGGGUGGUUCUGUUUUCCUUGUGGUUUGGAACUUUCCCUCCUUAUUUAAAUGCCCCUCCUCUUUUCCUGUGUACCUUUCCUAAUGGCUUGAGCAUUGCACUGGUUUCGUAAUCCUUUGUCUACCUGGCAGAAUUCAACGUUUGCCAUUUGAUUUGUUUCAUUCAUGGAAAGUUUUGCUCUCGUUCAGACUGUCAUUAGGAAAUCUUGGACAUGUUAUUCUCUUACUGGCUUUAUCCAUGUAUGAGACUUAACCUGAUUUAUUGGAUAGUCUUUGUUCUUGUUGGAACAUGAACUUGGGCACAUAUGUGAGCUUUCAGGAAGUGGCAGGAACCUGAACUUAAAAUGAAAUUUCAUUUCUGCCAUAAUUCACAUAGAUGGUGCAUGCUUUUGUUGAUUUUUUUCUGGCUUCUGUGAGCCAUGACUGUUUCCAUGCUUCCAGAGUCAUGAAGUUGAAGUUCUUGGAGGUCAGGACUGGUUCUAACUAGCUACAUAGUUACGACAAAGAUAUUUAAACUCUCUGGGUCUCAGUUUCCUCCCUUGUAAAAGGAAGAGGUCAGAUCAAGUUAUUUUAAUCUCACCUAAGAUAAUAUUCUCUGAUUGUAAUAUACCAGCAUUAAAAUACAAGGUAGGAACUUGGACAGUUACUUCCUGUAAAAAAAAGUGCUAAUAACAAAACUUGGUGCCUAUUUGUAUUAACUUUACUUAGCAACAGAGGAUACUAACGGCUUCUGAAUCGCUGGAAACCACUGAACUCAUGCACAACUGUAACCCAGAUUAGUCACAUUUAUUCUUAACAAUUAUCUUACUCCUUUGCUCAAUUCUAAGCUACUGUGAUUUUUUUAUUUUUUUAUUUUUUUGCUAGCACUUCAGGGGACAAAUGAUUUUUUGCAUGCUUUUUAAUUAUGAAAAUGUUAUUUUAGUAAAUGUAAUUUAAUUAAACAGAGAAUUUGUGCCAACUAUUUUGAAUAAGCACGAUAUUCUUCAACUCGUGUGAAAGGAGCUGCCAUUUGCUGUCUCAUUGCCUCGCUAAUACCCUGGCCUGUUUAGCUGGAACUUGAGCGUGCGCACCGUAUUCUUAACCAGAGCAGCUCCUUUUUCAUGUAAGUAGGUUAAAUGUGAAUUGGACAGCCUUGGGGUGCCUUUCUCUUCACUCUUUAAAAAGCCCCCUCAAGUGGGUCCCUUUUAAAAACCCAGAAUCAUAUGUUUGGAAGAUUGAUCCAAAUUAACAUCAGAAUAGCCCUUUCAUUUAAAAAAAAAUUAUACAGACUAUUUAAAAUAUGUUAAACUGACAUUGGUUGAAAUACAACCGAAUAAGUGAAGUAACAUUUCUUGUUUUAUUCUACUCUGGGGAUGAAAGAGCUGAAAUAGAAAAAAGCAUAGACUCUGCUAAGGUGCAAUUUCUGCCUCUGAAACAGGGAGGAAAUGUCUUUGUACAGAAGGAACAAAUUAGUGCCAUUUAUUUUCUUGUGACUUUUGUGUGCUUUAGGAUCAUGUAAGCCGGUCAGGAGGCUGACGGAUAUUUUGACUAUUGAGGGACUUUUUAUUUGUACUGAAAGAAGUAUUAAUUGAUUUCUAGAAUUUGGUUUCCAAUUGUGAACCCCUCACAGAUACUUACAUAGAUAAAGUACCUUACUACGAUUUUUUUUCAGUUGAAAGUUUACAAAAAUUUUGUACAUAAUUAAGAUAAUAUGAAUACUUCUAUUUGUUGAGGGAAACUGAGCCAUUAAAUAAGGGUGAAAUUGCUUAAACCAGUUCUCUAAAAUAAGCUGGAAAACUGGAGGGCUACAAAUUAUGCAUUUGUUAUAAUUCAGGACUAUACAAUAACCCAGGUCCCAAAAGGUCUCCCAAGAAUGACAGAGAAGCCAUGAUUUCCAGACAAGUGCAUUAUACAUGCUAAUAGCUUUGCAGCAAGAAAGGUCUCUAUCCUUGUAAGGGAGGAAACGUUCACUUUCAGCAUUUCCUACCAUAGAGAACACAGUAAUUACAACAGCACUGAUAUUUGCCUCCUUUCUUCCCUUGCCCUCACCUCCCCCACAUCCAAGCUCUUGAAUGACCCCAGUGGAAUUAAUCAAAGGACUUGAAACCUAUAUCAUUUCCAAAGGCUUUUAUUCUCUAAUACGUUCUGCACAACAUUUGUCCUCCAGGAAUGUGAGGCCCUGGCAUGCAUCCUCAUAGCAGAGAGACUUAAGCCUGUUUCCUGUACUUAAAUAUGCCUGUGGACAUCUCCACUUACUUACUUUAUAGGGAUGACGUUUAGAAACAAAAUAUUGGAUUGUUCUUUCAGAGUGGAGAAGAAGGCUAAAGCUAUACUGUCGGUAAAUGAUGUAUCCUUAAUCAAGUGAUCCAUCCUUAGACAGACGUGUCUGGUCAGCGUUUGAUGUUUUGCAGUGAAACGAUUUUGUAAUUUUUCCAGCUAUAAGAGAGUCAUGCAGAAAAUCAGUCAUUGGCUGCUGGUUUGCAGUGAUUUAAACUUGGCAUGUACCUUCAUGGGAUCAGUUAACAAGCCAAUCCUUUUGUGUCUGUGCGCUUUGUUAUUUGUUUAACUCAAGAUCCUUAUAGAUUCUGAAGGUUUUAGGUUGUUCCACUGGGGGACAGAUCUGCUUUCAGGGGUUAGAAACUUACAAUUAAUAUCAGCUAAAAAUGUGCAUCUU